GACGAACGCUGGCGGCGUGCCUAAUACAUGCAAGUAGAACGCUGAAGAGAGGAGCUUGCUCUUCUUGGAUGAGUUGCGAACGGGUGAGUAACGCGUAGGUAACCUGCCUGGUAGCGGGGGAUAACUAUUGGAAACGAUAGCUAAUACCGCAUAAAAUUGAUUAUUGCAUGAUAAUUAAUUGAAAGAUGCAACUGCAUCACUACCAGAUGGACCUGCGUUGUAUUAGCUAGUUGGUGAGGUAACGGCUCACCAAGGCGACGAUACAUAGCCGACCUGAGAGGGUGAUCGGCCACACUGGGACUGAGGCACGGCCCAGACUCCUACGGGAGGCAGCAGUAGGGAAUCUUCGGCAAUGGGGGGAACCCUGACCGAGCAACGCCGCGUGAGUGAAGAAGGGUUUCGGAUCGUAAAGCUCUGUUGUAAGAGAAGAACGGGUGUGAGAGUGGAAAGUUCACACUGUGACGGUAGCUUACCAGAAAGGGACGGCUAACUACGUG
rnacentral:rRNA from 1 species